rnacentral:rRNA from 1 species
UAGCAAUACCGAGAGUAAUUUAGCGGCGAACGGGUGCGUAACACGUGGGCAAUCUGCCAUAAAGUGGGGGAUAGCUCGGCGAAAGCCGAAUUAAUACCGCAUGUGAUCAGAGGUGACAUCACCUCGAAAUCAAAGGUGCCGCAAGGUACCGCUUUUUGUGGAGCCCGCGGCCUAUCAGCUUGUUGGUGAGGUAACGGCUCACCAAGGCUUUGACGGGUAGCUGGUCUGAGAGGACGACCAGCCACACUGGGACUGAGACACGGCCCAGACACCUACGGGUGGCAGCAGUCGAGAAUUUUUGACAAUGGGGGAAACCCUGAUCGAGCGACGCCGCGUGGAGGAUGAAGGUCUUCGGGUUGUAAACUCCUGUCAUUUGGGAACAAUGGUUACACGUUUACUGCGUGUGACUUGAUAGUACCAGAAGAGGAAGAGACGGCUAACUCUGUGCCAGCAGCCGCGGUAAUACAGAGGUCUCAAGCGUUGUUCGGAUUCAUUGGGCGUAAAGGGUGUGUAGGUGGCGCGCUAAGUCGGGUGUGAAAUUUCGGAGCUUAACUCCGAAACUGCAUUCGAUACUGGCGUGCUUGAGGACUGGAGAGGAGACUGGAAUUCUCGGUGUAGCA